UCUUUCAAUAAAAUACAAUCACAAGUACAAAACCAAAAAGCAUGCUUUUUGCUCCUCCCCUGUAUUGCCAGAACCAUUCUCAGCAUGCUUUUUGGUUUUGUACUUGUGAUUGUAUUUUAUU